GCUGGGUGUGGUGGCUCACGCCUGUAAUCCCAGCACUUUGGGAGGCUGAGGCGAGUGGAUCACCUGAGGUCAGGAGUUCAAGACCAGCCUGGCCAACAUGGUGAAACCCCGUCUCUA
rnacentral:SRP_RNA from 1 species